AGACCAAAAACACAAGAGAAAUGGAUAGAAGGAAGUGACUUCACUACAUUCAUUUUUCAAGUGGCGCUAAGACUGAAUGAAAGCUAACUUGUUAGUAUCUGUCUUUCUUUAGUCAAAAAGAAAUUAAGGUUUUUAAGGAAAACAUUCUGGAUUUUUCCUCUAUAUUGUCGACUUCAUUGGGGACCAAUGGGUUGAAGGCACAUGACCGUAAGGCAUGGGAGCCACAGUCUGAACCGCAGGCAGAUUUUUGCUGGUGGCCCCAUUCACAAAGCUGGAGGAAGAGGAAGUGGAUGCAUCUGUGGCUCCUGAGAGACAACAAGAGAAAUCACAGGUAACAACAUAACUACAGGGGCUCAAGCUUUGAGAAACAUCCCCAUUACUCUCGCCUCCCCCUGAGAAAGUGAAGCACCAUCUUACAUUCCUCUUAUUUCUCUCUCUGUCAAAGCCACAGUGUCCACAGCGCCCUGUGCAGCAGGGAGCUUCUGAUAGAUACAUCACAGCAAUGGACUGUCAUCCUGUGAAACCACAAGCUGUCACGGGACAUCUGAGGAUGGGAAAUCUAUUACGCAGCCAUCAAUCGCCGUGUCAGAGAUGAGUGUCCACCCAUAAGCAAAUACACCAAGAUGAGGGGAAACGUCAAGAGGGACAUCCUGAUGGAUUUCGCUGGAAGCACAGCUUGGCCUAAUUCAACCUCGAUUCAAAUCAACGUCCCUUGUGCAUUCUAAGCAGAUCUCAAUGAGGUAUAUGAUGGACAAUGGGGAAUAAAAGCCUCUCUUAAGGAAAAUGUAAUAUAUGUUUUCAAAAUAUACUGUACAGUAAAGUUUGGGGUCAAUAUGAUUUUUCGGUAACACUUUACAAUAAGGUUCAUUAGUUACUAACUACAUUAGUUAACAUGAACUAAGAAUGAACAGUACUUCUACAGCAUUUCUUAGUGAUUAAUCUUAGUGAUGUUAUAAUAACGUUAAUUUGAGCACUUACUAAUGCAUUAUUAAAAUCACAAGUUGUGUAUGUUAACAUUAGUUAAUGCACUGUGAACUAACAUGAACAAACAAUGAACAACUGUAUUUUUAUUAACUACCAUUAACAAAGAUUAGUAAAUAAUGUAAUAAAAGUAUGGGUCAUUGUUAUUUCAUGUUAGUUAAUAUAUUAACUAAUGGUAACAAAUGACACCUUGUUGUAAAGUGUCACCCAUUUUCUUUAGUUUAUUUUAUUUUAUUUUUUUUUGGUUAUUUAUUUCAAAAGAUAAGCUAGGACACAUUAAACUGACAAAAGUGACAGUAAAGGCAUUUAUAAUGUUACAAAAGAUUUCUAUUUCAAAUAGAUGCUGUUCUUUUAAACUUUCUAUUCAUUAAGGAAUCCUAAAAAAAUAGAUUAUGGUUUCCACAAAAAAAUACAUUAAAUAACACAAUGGUUUUCAACAUUGAUAAUAAUAAGAAAAGUUUUUGAGCACCAAAUAAACAUGAUAAACAAAAUGAUUUCUGAGGGAUCAUGUAACACUAAAGACAGUAGUAAUGGCUGCUGAAAAUUCAGCUUUGCAUCAGAGGAAUAAAUUACAUUUUAAAAUAUAUUAAAAAGAAAAACAUUAUUUUAAAUUGUAAUAAAUUUCACAAUACUACUGUUAUUUUUAUUAAAUAAACAUAUUGUAUAUAAAGAUAUAUUAUGAAAAUAACAUUAAAUAAAACAUUAGAUAAAUAAAUAGUGAUGUCAAUGUUUUGGUUUAAAUAAUAUAUGUGUGUGUACUGUGUGUAUUUAUUGCAUAUAUAUAAAUACACACACAUGCAUGUA